rnacentral:rRNA from 1 species
CCCGUCAUGGAGUGACCCUGCCGCCGCGAGUUCGAGUUACGGGUGCAGGGGAGAGACCAGGGACUAACUGCGGGAUGAGCAGCUACAGGGAUAGGUCUUCACCAUUAAGUCAGUUGAUAGACGUGAACAUUUAAACAUUAAUUCUUCUGGUUCUUCACCUGUACCUAGACUUACCUCUUCUCCUAUUCCUACCGCUUACUGAACACGUAGAAGGUACUAGUCUUGAUCUAGACAAAUAAGAACACGCUACCAGUACCAGACUGAACAUACUAACCGAUCAUCAAAAACAAACGUACCAAUGUGCCAACUUAUAACAUGUCUACCUGCUCAACACAUUGGGACUAUCAAAAACAAACGUACCAACUUAUAACAGCCCUACCUUAUCAAUAACAGGUAUACUAAUACGAAUAUAUUUACUACUAACAUGUUAAUUUCACAGUAUAACAACAGUC